AUCAACUAAUAUCUCAACCAUGAUAUAAAUAUUAAUUUAUUGAAUCAUCAUUGUUGGAAGAUUAUUUAAAGUCGAUUUAAUCCAAUCGUAAUUGAUGGCCAUGAUACUAAAUAGAAAAAUAAAGCAUUGGAAAUUGCUGGUAAUGGUAAGAAAAAACCAUCUACUGUUUAGCAACAACUUACAAAGGCAAAGGAUUAGUCGCAAUUAGAUCAAAGGACAAGCUUUCGGCUCCGUUCUCUCUGACUACCAGUGGUCCUAAGUAGCUGCCUAUCUGAUAUCCACUACUCAUGAAGACAAUAUAUACCAUGUUCUUUACGGAAAUGAAAUUUUUAAUAAUUCUAAGAGGCAGGCGAAGUUCACAGAAAAUGACACAAAGAUGCUACAGUUAAUGUAGAAGGUAUUUUCUAUCUCUUGAAAUAUUC